rnacentral:rRNA from 1 species
CAGCCGCCGCGGUAAUACGAGGGGUGCAAGCGUUAUUCGGAUUGAUUGGGUGUAAAGGGUGUGCAGACGGCUUACUAAGUCACUUGUUAAAUUCUUCGGCCUAACUGAAGGUCUGCAAGUGAUACUGAUGAGCUAGAGGGUGGAAGAGAGAAGUGGAAUUCUCGGAGUAGCGGUAAAAUGUGUAGAUCUCGAGAGGAACACCAAUGGCGAAGGCAGCUUCUUGGUCCAUUCCUAACGUUCAUACACGAAAGCGUGGGGAGCAAACAGGAUUAGAUACCCCCGUAGUCCCUGUCUCUUAUAC